AUGUAUUGCCAGAUUGAAGAAACCGGAGGCUGGGCAUGGUGGCUCAUGCCCGUAAUUCCAGCAUUUUGGGAGGCUGAGGUGGGUAGGCAGGUGGAUCACCUGAGGUCAGGAGUUCAAGACCAGCCUGACCAACAUGGUGAAAUUCUGUCUCUCAAAAAUUAGCCAGGCAUGGUGGCACACACCUGUGAUCCCAGCUACUCCAGAGGCUGAGGCAGGGAGAGUCACUUGAACCUGGGAGGUGGAGGUUGCCGUGAGCCACGACUGCGACACUGCACUCCAGCCUGGGUGACAAGGUAAAACCUUGUCUCAAAAAAAAGUUCUAAGAAAUCCAGGGGAGGGGGGAAGAGAAAGGACCUUAAAAAUACAGAUGAUCCUUAAAUAUAUAAAAAGAUGAUUAAGCCAAUUUAUAAAAAGAAAAAAAUUGUAAGCACCAUAAGAUACAAUUUCUCAUCUAUCAAAUUGACACACUUUCAAAAGCCGGAUGCUCUCAUCUGCCACGGGGAAGGAGGCAGGCUUGUCUAGUGCAGGAGGGAAGGAAAAUGAGGCCGUCUGGUGAUGCGGAAACAUGCAGAAAAUGACAAAUGUGUUUAGCCUUUGCCCUGGCUCUCCCACCUCUGGGAAGU
rnacentral:lncRNA from 13 species